GGUUAAAAGAUUUCGCAAGUGAUUCUUCGGGAAAAAUUGAACUUGAUUUUUGUCUUACAAAAAUUCGUAUUUAAACCAAAAAAGGUUAAUCUGUUUAGCAAAAUAAUGGUGUAAAAAUUAAAGAAAAAUAUGGAACUCGGCAAACUAGCUCCGAACCUUAGGAAGAAGGAGUGGCAAUUUUAACAAAUAAAUUGCUGUAAAAAAAGGAAAUCCACAACUGUUUAUUAAAAACACAUGACCAUGCUAAUUUUUAAAAGAAAGUAUAUGGUCUGACUUGUGCUAAAUGCUUGAAAAUUGAAAAAAAAAUUGUUUUGCUUUUUUAUAAAAACGAGCUAAUAGCAGUCUUAUUCCUGAGGAUUGUAAUGUAGCGAAAUUCCUUGUCCACUAAAUAUGGUCCCGCAUGAAUCAAGUAAUGAUGGAUUUGCUGUCAUGUUUUUCUGUUUUGUGAAUUUGAAGUAGGAGUGCAGAUUCUCUUUUCCAAAAUUAAGACGAAAAGACCCUAUAAAACUUUACUAAAAACAAUUAUUGCUAAAAUUCAACAUUCUGUUCAGAGUAAACAAGAGCUUAUGAAAUUUUUUAUUUAAAAAGUUGAAGCGACGCUGAGAAAUUGUUCUUUAUUGGAUUAAAGCUAAUUUUUUAAAAAGACAGUGAUUGUUUGUUAGUUUCUUUGGGGCGAAGUUCUUUUAAAAGGUAACAAAGAAGUGCAAAGGCAAAUUAAUUUGAAAAAUUUCAUUUUAAAACGAAAAAGUAUAUAUUUGCUUAACUGUAAGGUUGAUAUACCAAGCAGAAAUUAACGUUGGCUUUAUUGAACCAACUUUUUUGAUUAAAAAAGAAGUUGUUCAUCAGAUAAAAGUUACUUUAGGGAUAACAGAAUUAUAAAAAUCAAGCGAUCAGAGCGAAAUUUUUGUUUGUGACCUCGAUGUCGAUUUGUGGUAUCCUCGAGGCGAAGAAGUUUCGAAGGGUUUAACUGUUCGUUAAAUAAAACCGCACAUGAAUUGGGUUUAAAACGACGUAAGUCAGUUUUGUUUCUAUCUAAUUUUGGAUUAAAACUGAGGGGGUUCUUGUUUAGUAUGAGAAGAAUAAUAAGAAGAAGCAAAUUGUGAUUGGUUAUUUUCUAAAAAUAUUCAACUAGCAACGCUUUAUAAAAUAAAAAAUGAAAGCAUCUAUUUUUAUUUAAGUUUUCCCCAAUAAAGGUUUU
rnacentral:rRNA from 1 species